rnacentral:rRNA from 1 species
GUAGGUGGCAAGCGUUGUCCGGAAUUAUUGGGCGUAAAGCGCGCGCAGGUGGUUCUUUAAGUCUGAUGUGAAAGUCCCCGGCUCAACCGGGGAGGGUCAUUGGAAACUGGGGAACUUGAGUGCAGGAGAGGAAAGUGGAAUUCCACGUGUAGCGGUGAAAUGCGUAGAUAUGUGGAGGAACACCAGUGGCGAAGGCGACUUUCUGGCCUGUAACUGACACUGAGGCGCGAAAGCGUGGGGAGCAAACAGGGAUUAGAUACCCUGGUAGUCCACGCCGUAAACGAUGAGUGCUAAGUGUUGGGGGGGUUUCCGCCCCUCAGUGCUGCAGCUAACGCAUUAAGCACUCCGCCUGGGGAUACGGUCGCAAGACUG